UACGUAGGCAGCAAGCGUUGUUCGGAAUUACUGGGCGUAAAGCGCGUGUAGGCUGCUUCGAAAGUCAGAUGUGAAAGCCCUCGGCUUAACCGAGGAAGUGCGUCUGAAACUGCUGAGCUUGAGUGUCGGAGAGGAUGGCGGAAUUCCGCAAGUAGAGGUGAAAUUCGUAGAUAUGCGGAGGAACACCGGUGGCGAAGGCGGCCAUCUGGACGACUACUGACGCUGAGACGCGAAAGCGUGGGGAGCAAACAGG
rnacentral:rRNA from 1 species